GGCCAAGUAGUUCAGUUGGUUAGAACGCCAGCCUGUCACGCUGGAGGUCGUG
rnacentral:tRNA from 1 species